AUGGCAGAGGGCUGGAUGUACUCCACUGCUCCUCCAGACUCACUGUCCACUCACCUCCACUCAGCUCAGUGCCCUAAGAUGCUGGCUUGUAUUGGACGGCUCAGGGCUUCCUUACCCUCUGGCUUUCAGUUGGGUUAUUCAAAGAGGAAGUUGAGAGGCACCCCUGGGAGAGUGGAGGGGGCCAGGAAAGUCAGGUUAAUUUCGUGCUCCCCCUUGGCUGUGUUCCUCUUCUGGAAGCCGCAGCUCCUUUCCAACGGCCCUGCAGUCGUUGCUGCCACAGCUGCAAACCUCUCCACGUUCGGCUCAGAGUCCCUGCCUCGCCCCACCAGGCUGGAGACCCUGGGGGCAGCUCGGAAAGAACAGAGCUGGGCCCCCACAGUGUUGCUGAGCCCUGGGCUGAUCCCGCACCGUCUGCCUGCAGACCUCAUGCUAUGGGAUGAACAAGCAAACCACCGUGAUCUCGAUCACUCAGGUGUGGUUUGCUCACACCUGCCACUGAACGCACUCCCAGCUAAUCCACCAACAGGAUAAUAAGAUGGGCUUCCCAAGGGGACAGCCUACCAGGGAGUGGAGAUACAUUUACAAGCAGUAAAACUAUUUUGGGAAUUUCCCUGGUGGUUCGGUGGCUGAGACUCUGCUCUCCCCAGGCAGGGAGCAUGGGUUCAGUGCCUGGGUCGGGGAAGCAGGUCCUGCACGCCGCAUCUGAAGAUCCCACAUGCCGCAACUCAGACCCCGCAUUGUCUAUUUAAUUAAUUAAUUAAUUAAAAUGAGCAAAAAAGAAAUAAAGCUAUUUUGGGGACUUUCCGAGCAGUCCAGUGGCGAAGACUCCAUGGUCCCAACACAGGGUUCAGUCCCUGGUUGGGGGACUAGGCCCCACAGGCCACAACUAAAGAUGCGCAUUCCACAACUUGGACCUGGCGGGGUCAAAUUAACUAAUUUUAAAACAAUGAGAAAACGCAAAUAAAGCUCUUUUUAUAGGAGGUCUACUAAAGAGGAGGACAAUAGGGGGCAUGGAGGAUGCUGGUGAGGGGACUGUCACAGAUGAGAGGCACAGAUGAGAGGCCAGAUGUGAGGGUCACAGAUGAGGGUCCCAGAUGUGAGGGACCCUGUGGGCCGGAUGUGCACGCGUGAGCGCACAUGGAGACGAAGCUGGCAGGUGGGCGGCUUCCCCAUCAAUCUCCAGAAAGACGCCAGGUCCCUCUCAGCCCCAGCAUUUGGGGCAACUAAGGGAGGGUGGGUAUGUGUGCUACGACAACAGCCAGGUGGCUUGGGCCGCAGCGACAGGCGCUGCUAAGGUGACAGGCCCCAGCCAGAGAGGUCCCAGAAGAGGGGUGGCCUCCUGGGGAACGGACGGGAUUAUGCGGGUCGGGGACCCCGGUAAAAGGCCGCCCCUCCUGCCGUCACAGGACACAUGCCUGCUCAGCCGUGUCCGACUCUUUGCGACCCUGUGGACUGUGGCCAACCAGGCUCCUCUGUCCAUGGGAUUCUUCAGGCAAGAGUGCUGGAGUGGG
rnacentral:lncRNA from 1 species